AAAAACUUAAUUUUUAGGUUUCCGUGUCUGAUGUUUGACCGUCCGUCUUAUAUAAAAUUUUUGUAUAAUUAGUAUUUUCAUUAUUGUUAAAUGAUAAAACAUGAAUAAUACUUUAUACAUGGCUUACUUUUUAAAUUUUUUUAUAAUUUUUUAAAAUAAGACGAACAAUCAAACGUUAGACACGGAAAUUCAGGAAUUAAG
rnacentral:pre_miRNA from 1 species